CAGUCGCCGCGGGAAUACGGAGGGUGCAGGCGUUAAUCGGAAUUACUGGGCGUAAAGGGAGCGUAGGCGGAUCGUUAAGUUGGGGGUGAAAGCCCGGGGCUCAACCUCGGAACUGCCUUCAAUACUGGCGAUCUUGAGUAUGAGAGAGGUGUGUGGAACUCCGAGUGUAGAGGUGAAAUUCGUAGAUAUUCGGAAGAACACCAGUGGCGAAGGCGACACACUGGCUCAUUACUGACGCUGAGGCUCGAAAGCGUGGGGAGCAAACAGGAUUAGAUACCCCCGUAGUCCCUGUCUCUUAUAC
rnacentral:rRNA from 1 species